rnacentral:RNase_P_RNA from 1 species
GCCGUUUCCUGGACGGUCGCAGUCGGACGCAAGUUCGGCUGAGGAAAGUCCGGACACCGUAGGGUAACGUGCCUCGUGAAAAGUGAGGACAGGGAAUUCGCGAGGAUUCUUUGAUGGAAAGUGCCGCAGAAAAUAUACCGCCGAUGGUCCUGUUCGCAGGAAUCAGGUAAGGUUGAAAUGGUGGAGUAAGAGCCCACCGCGCCAAGGGCAACUGAGGUGGCAGGGCAAACCCCACGUGGUGCAAGACAGAACAGGGGAGAGUGACCCGCUCUCAUCUCCGGGUAAUAGUCGCACUCCGCGCAAGCGGGGUCCUGCGCAAGUAGGAAGAGAAAUGAUCGUCGAAGGAAGCCUCGCGCUUCUGGGACAGAAUCCGGCUUACAGGGAAACGGCAACC